rnacentral:rRNA from 1 species
AAUAUUGGACAAUGGGGGCAACCCUGAUCCAGCCAUCCCGCGUGUGCGAUGAAGGCCUUCGGGUUGUAAAGCACUUUUGGCAGGGAAGAAAAGCCACGGGUUCAUACCCCGAUGGCGCUGACGGUACCUGCAGAAUAAGCAACUGCUAACUACGUGCCCGCAGCCCCGGUAAUACGGAGGGUGCAAGCUUUAAUCGGAAUUACUGGGCGUAAAGGGUGCGUCGGCGGUUUGGCAAGAAAGGUGUGAAAUCCCAGGGCUCAACCUUGGAACUGCACUUUUAACUGCUAGGCUAGAGUAUGUCAGAGGGGGGUAGAAUUCCGCGUGUAGCAGUGAAAUGCGUAGAUAUGCGGAGGAAUACCGAUGGCGAAGGCAGCCCCCUGGGAUAAUACUGACGCUCAGGCACGAAAGCGUGGGGAGCAAACA